rnacentral:rRNA from 1 species
CGCUGGCGGCGUGCCUAACACAUGCAAGUCAACUUGAGGGAAGGAGCAAUCUGACCUGGUGGUGGCGCAAGGGUGCGUAACGCGUAAGUAACUUGCCCCAAGGUAAGGAAUAACGUCGAGAAAUCGGCGCUAAUACCUCAUAAUGCAGCGGAUCCGCAUGGAUAUGUUGUUAAAGGUUUACCGCCUUGGGAUAGGCUUGCGUCUGAUUAGCUAGUUGGUGUGGUAAUGGCACACCAAGGCUACGAUCAGUAACUGGUCUGAGAGGAUGAUCAGUCACACUGGAACUGAGACACGGUCCAGACUCCUACGGGAGGCAGCAGUGAGGAAUAUUGGGCAAUGCACGAAAGUGUGACCCAGCAACGCCGCGUGGAGGAUGAAGGUAUUCUAUAUCGUAAACUCCUGUGAGAGCAGACGAAAGACAGAUUAUUAAUUUGGAUGACUGUAUGCUCAGAGGAAGCCCCGGCUAACUACGUG